AUUGAACGCUGGCGGCAGGCUUAACACAUGCAAGUCGAGCGGAGAUGAGGUGCUUGCACCUUAUCUUAGCGGCGGACGGGUGAGUAAUGCUUAGGAAUCUGCCUAUUAGUGGGGGACAACAUUCCGAAAGGAAUGCUAAUACCGCAUACGUCCUACGGGAGAAAGCAGGGGAUCUUCGGACCUUGCGCUAAUCGAUGAGCCUAAGUCGGAUUAGCUAGUUGGUGGGGUAACGGCCUACCAAGGCGACGAUCUGUAGCGGGUCUGAGAGGAUGAUCCGCCACACUGGGACUGAGACACGGCCCAGACUCCUACGGGAGGCAGCAGUGGGGAAUAUUGGACAAUGGGGGGAACCCUGAUCCAGCCAUGCCGCGUGUGUGAAGAAGGCCUUAUGGUUGUAAAGCACUUUAAGCGAGGAGGAGGCUACUGAGACUAAUACUCUUGGAUAGUGGACGCUACUCGCAGAAUAAGCACCGGCUAACUCUGUGCCAGCCGCCGCGGUAAAAC
rnacentral:rRNA from 1 species